rnacentral:rRNA from 1 species
ACGAACGCUGGCGGCGUGGAUAAGACAUGCAAGUCGGACGUGAAAUUGCCGGGGUAGCAAUAUUCGGCAGUUUGAGUGGCGCAAGGGUGCGUAACACGUGGGUAAUUUGCCCUUUAGAUGGGGAUAACUCGCUGAAAGGCGAGCUAAUACCGAAUGUGGUUUUGGAUUGGCAUCGAUCUGGAACUGAAGUUGGGGACCUGUAAGGGCCUGACACUAAAGGAUAAGCCCGCGGCCUAUCAGCUAGUUGGUGAGGGUAACGGCCUCACCAAGGCUAAGACGGGUAGCUGGUCUGAGAGGACGACCAGCCACACUGGAACUGAGAGACGGUCCAGACACCUACGGGUGGCAGCAGUCGAGAAUUUUUCUCAAUGGGCGCAAGCCUGAAGGAGCGACGCCGCGUGGGGGAUGAAGGGCUUCGGCCUGUAAACCCCUGUCAUUUGCGAACAAACCCUCACAUUGAACAGGUGUGUGAGGUUGAUAGUAGUGAAAGAGGAAGGGGACGGCUAACUCUGUGCCAGCAGCCGCGGUAAUACAGAGGUCCCGAGCGUUGUUCGGAUUCACUGGGCCGUAAAGGGUGCGUAGGCGGGUGGGGUCAGUCUGAUGUGAAAGCUCGCAGCUUAACUGCGAAAUGGCAUUGGAUACUAUUCUGCUAGAGGCUUGGAGGGGGGGACUGGAAAUACUUGGUGUAGCAGUGAUAAUGCGUAGAUAUCAAGUGGAACACCAGUGGGCGAAAGGCGAGUCCCUGGACAAGACCUGACGCUGAGGCACGAAAGCUAGGGGAGCAAACAGGAUUAGAUACCCUGGUAGUCCCUAGCCCGUUAAACGGUGCACGUUUUGCUGUGUGAAAGGAAUCGACCCCUUUUGUGGCACAGCUAACGCGUUAAACGUGCCGCCUGGGAAGUACGGUCGCAAAGAUUAAAACUCAAAGAAAAUUGACGGGGGCCUGCACAAGCGGGGUGGAGUAUGUGGCUUAAUUCGAUGCAACGCGAAGAACCUUACCUGGGCCUUGACAUGCAUGUGGUAGAACCAUGAAGGUGGGACGACCCCGCAAGGGGGAGCGUGCCACAGGUGCUGCAUGGCUGUCGUCAGCUCGUGUUCGUGAGAUGUUGGGUUAAGUCCCGCAACGAGCGCAACCCCUAUGGUCCUGUUGCCACCCUAUCCGAGAGGCUGGAGCACUCUGGACAGGACUGCCUCGCUUCAAACGAGGAGGAAGGUGGGGAUGAACGUCAAGUCAGGAUGGCUCCUUACGGCCAGGGCUGCACACGUACUACAAUGCCCGGUACAAAGGGAAGCAAGACCCGCUAAAAGGUGGAAGCAAAUCUCGAAGAAGAAGAAACCGGGCCCAGUUCAGAUUGUCGGUCUGCAACUCGACCUACAUGGAAGCCUGGAAUCGCUAGUAAUGGCGCAUCAGCUACGGCGCCGUGAAAUACGUUCCCAGGCCUUGUACACACCGCCCCGUCACAUCAUGAAAGCCGGUUUGUACCCGAAGUCAGCUCGGACGCCAAACCGCAAGGGAGGCAGAUGCCGAAGGUAUGGAUGGUGAUUGGGAUG